UGCAUGCUUUUACAGUAUGGAAAUUGGUGAUUUAUAAUAACUUGGCAAAUCGCAAAGUGAAAACAGGCGAUAAAUCAUUCAAGUUUCUGACCUAUCAGCUUUCGACGGUAUGGUAUUGGCUUACCGUGGCAGUGACGGUUAACGGGGGAUUAGGGUUCGAUUCCGGAGAGGGAGCCUGAGAAACGGCUACCACAUCUAAGGAAGGCAGCAGGCGCGCAAAUUACCCAAUUCUAACAGUUUGAGAGAGGUAGUAACAAGAAAUAACAAUACAAGGCAAUUAAAAUGCUUUGUAAUUGGAAUGAUAGAAAUUUAAACCCUUUUUAAAGUAUCAAUUGGAGGGCAAGUCUGGUGCCAGCAGCCGCGGUAAUUCCAGCUCCAAUAGCGUAUAUUAAAAUUGUUGCAGUUAAAAAGCUCGUAGUUGAAGUUCUGCUAAAAGUAACCGGUCUGCUUUUAAUAAAAGUGGUAUCUUGGUGUGUAUUUAGCAAUGAUGUCCUUUGAAGUGUUUUUUACUUUAUUGUAAUAAAGCAUAUUCAGGACUUUUACUUUGAGAAAAUUAGAGUGUUUCUAGCAGGCCGACGCUUUGAAUACUGCAGCU
rnacentral:rRNA from 1 species